rnacentral:lncRNA from 1 species
GACAACCCACGCUACGCCACUGGGUGCAGGACAUGAGUAACUGACACAACACAGGACAUGGGUUUUGGGAUUUUGGCAGCGGUGGACCAAGAUCCAGGAAGGCAGAAGAAAAGUGAACAAGACACAUCUGUGAUGCUGCACUGAAGCUUUAAUAGAGAAGCAAAAAUGAGUGAACGUUCUCUGUGAUGAACAGUUUAAGUGGGAGAAGAAAAAUAAAAAGAUCCCAUUCCGAGUAAAGAGCACAUUCACUAUUGAGAUGAUAGAUUAUGAGAAAACAAAAUAUCUGGCACAGUUUGACUCUGUUCUGUGUGAAAAAGUUCUUUCUGUCCAAAUAACUGCCCCAUAGUCAAUCAGUUGCAAACUUCUUUGCUCUAGUAAUCAAUUUACUUAAAAGGAGCUUACCAAAAGCUGAAGAAGUUGAGGGGAAAAAGAGAGGAGAUCUUCAAAAUCACUGGGGGGAAAGCCCUACGCGUGGAGUCCUUUUACAGAAUUUCUCUCUGCACUUGGAGCGAAUAUCUUGUUGCAGCACAACUAAUUUGGCUAAGUAUAGCCCACACCCACUUUUUGGCCUGAAUGUUCCUAGCCACUAAGUGCCCAAUAAAUUUUUGAAUGGUCCUUGCCACUAAGUGACCAAUAACUUUUUGGAACACAUUACAUUGCAUUCAGAUGGAGUCUCAGUGUCUAGGAACAGUCUGGCCAAAAAGUGGAGGUGGGCUAUAGAGUCUGUGGGAAUAAAGGUGCAGAGAGGUGGAGACCAGGAAAAACUGGAGGGAACAGACCAGGAUUUGGAGACCUUGCUUGUUAUUUAUACUCAUUUGGGGAAGAUCAGAAGAAGGGAGCCAGGGGCUGAGGUGGUCUGAGAGGGUGCCCCCUGUGAAGGUCUGACAAGAGGAAGGUGAGAUAAGUGAGCUGAAGUGUCCAGGCAGCCAGGAUUACCGUGACAAGAAGGAAUCCAGGCCCCUCUCAUUUAAAGAAAGUCCUUCCCUUUCUAUCUACUCAAAGGCCUGCUCACCAAUAAUCUCUGCUACAAGUGUAACAGCAUAAAGGCCUCGAAAGGUUGACAGUCCCAAGAAUCACAGAACAUUGUCCUCCAAAGAAUUCUGGGAAAUGUAGCUCAUCCCUCACAGAGCUAUGAUUCCCAGCACCCUUAGCCAUCUAUAGGGACUGGAGUCUUUUGAGGCAGAAUGUGCUUCACCUGUGAUUGCAACAUCCAGUGUGUUUGUAGGCGCAAAUUGAAGCCAAGUCAAAAGAAAGCAAAGCAGAGUCUGUGAUGAAGGGGCCAGAGCAUGGAGAUCCCAUCAGGUUCUUCCUUCUUCCAUAGCCACAUCAUCGUUAUAGUCAAACAGAAAUCAAACAUGUUCCCAAGUGUGGCUCUGACCCUGGGUCCAGCUUGCUGCAUUUUACAGGCUGCAACCUUUCUGCAAAAACUCAGUCCUCAACUCAGCUCUGUACUCCAUCUCAAAUUCUCCUUUGUCUUCAAAACUAACUCUGGGUCCCAUUUUCUGUGUGGCACGGUCUCCCCUCUCUCUGGCUAUCCUGAUGUACCACAGGCCCUGAUUGGCUGGAGGUUCCAGGUUCUUGGGGGGAGAGUCAGCUGAGAGGAGUCUGUGGGAAUAAAGGAAGUUGAUGAGGAAGGUACAGGGAGGAGGAGACCAGGAAAAACCUGUGGGAGAAACUGAGACCAGGAUUUGGAGACCCCGUGUGCUUUGCAUGGUCUUCCAGGGAGUUUAUCUUUGGGGAUGUCACUGAUGGGUGCAGGACAUGAGUAACUGACACACCACAGGACAUGGGUUUUGGGAUUUUGGCAGCGGUGGACCAAGAUCCAGGAAGGCAGAAGAAAAGUGAACAAGACACAUCUGUGAUGCUGCACUGAAGCUUUAAUAGAGAAGCAGAAAUGAGUGAACGUUCUCUGUGAUGAGCAGUUUAAGUGGGAGAAGAAAAAUAAAAAGAUCCCAUUCCGAGUAAAGAGCACAUUCACUAUUGAGAUGAUGCCGAUUAUGAGAAGAGAGGGGUUCGUAUUGGACAAGCACAAGGAAGGAAGGAAAGAAGUUGGUUUUCUUUAGACCUCCCUUUUGUCCUGGCCCAGCUGGCUAAGAAGUUCUCAGUUAGGAACUCCCUGGAAGAUGUGCAGAUCCUGAGGUUCUCCUUAUUCAGACUCAGAGAACUGAGGGUUGCUGGGCAUAAAUGGAGGAGAGAUAGCAGAGGAAGAUGGGCAAGAAAACAGUAAAGGGACGGGGAAUGUGGGCGAUUCUCAGUAAGGUCCAUAUUGUGAGUGAUAUUGAAACUGCCACCUCUGCAGAAUAUGAGGACAUCGUGAGGAUCCAUUGAAGCAGCAGGGACUGGGCAGAGGAGGGGGAGGAGUGGUAGAGACGGCCUCCCCAUCGUGACCCUUCCAGGGAGAAGGAAGAGGAAGAUGGUCUAGUUUUACAACAGGGGUUUGCGGGAGGUGACAGCUCAGAGGCAGACAGUUUCUCUCUGCACUUGGAACAAAUAUCUUAGCUCGUAGAAUUAAUUAGCCAAAUUAGUGGUGCUGAAGCAAGAUUUUUGCUGCAGGUGCAGAGAGAACCUGCAUAAAAGGGCUCAGCGCGUAGGGCUUUUCCACGAGCGCUUUUGAAGAUCUCCUCUCUUCGGCUGCUCAGCUUCUUCAGCUUUGAGUUUGAAUAUUUGACCCAUAUGUAAAGAUGAAAGAGUGGAUAAAAUGAAGAGAUUAGUGAAUUAGUUUAACGUACAAAUGUGGAUUAGAUCAGUGGAUUCUGAUUGCAAAAUUCCAUGCUGAAAUGUGGGGAAUUGGGAGAAUUUUUCACUGAUGCUUAUGAAUUUUCACAAGGCUUAAGAAAUAAAUAAAUCACAAACUGCUGCAGACACGAAGAGAGCUGAAUUUACAUUUGGAAACAGUGAGAAACUGGGAUAUCUAAAAUUGAGAGGUUGAAGGGACAAGCAUUCCUAAACUGUUACCAGAAGACCAGGACAACAUUCAACCUCCACAUACUAUGUCCCAAAAGGUAUCUUGCUUGUCAGGUUACACCUUGGCUCGGGAAGCUGCUUUGCUUCAUUUGGGCUCAGCUUCACCUCGGAUGAUGUUCUCUGUGUUCCUUUUAAUGGUAUUCAGGGUGUUCUCUUCACUCCUUCAGGCUUCAGAAGCAUCAUCUGUGGAGCAUAACCUACAUACGGACGACUUCUUUUAAACACAUCUGAAGCAUCUUUUCCCCUUCAUAGAACUCUGGGCACUGUAGACUCUUAGGGGUGUUGGGAACGGCAGCACUGUGAGGGCAAAAUGUCGUGUGACCAUGGGAGAGACUGGCACAGUAUGACUCUGUUCUGGGUGAAGAAGUCCCUUCUGUCCAAAUAACUGCCCCAUAAACAAUCAGCUGCAAACUUCUUUGCUCUAGUAAUCAAUUUACUUAAAAGGAGCUUACCAAAAGCUAAAGAAGCUGAGCAUCCAAAGAGCGGAGAUCUUCAAAAGCCCUGGUGGAAAAGCCCUACGCGCUGAGCCCUUUUACGCAGUUUCUCUCUGCAGCUGAAGCGAAUAUCUUGCUUAAGCACCACUAAUUUGGCUAAUCACAGCUCAUAGCGGAAAUCACAGAACGUUUUCCUCCCAAGGAAAUCUGGGAGAUGUAGCUUACGCCUCACAGAGCUAUGAUUCCCAGCACCCGUAGCCAUCUAUAGGUACAGAGUCCUAUGAGGCAGAAAAUGGGCUUCAUAUGCGAUUGCGACAACGAGUGUGUUCAUAGGUGCAGAGGCGUAAGCGGGGCUGAGUCAAGUAAAUGCCCCAAAUUACAUUAAAAGGAACACAAUGAACAUCACCCAAAUUGAAGCUGCGUCAAGAGAAAGCCAAGCAGGAGGCUGACAAGACCAAUAACUUAUUGGAACAGAUUACAUUGCAGUCGGAUGGAGUUCCAAUGGCUAGGGACAGUCUGGCCAAAAGGUGGAGGUGGGCUAUACUUAGCCAAAUUAGUGAUGCUGCACAAAAGUAUUCGCUGCAGGUGCAGAGAGAAACUGUAUAAAAGGGCUCAGCGCGUAGGGCUUUUCCACCAGUGCUUUUGAAGAUCUCCUCUCUUCGGCUGCUCAGCUUCUUCAGCUUUUGGUAAGCUCCUUUUAAGUAAAUUGAUUACUAGAGCAAAGAAGUUUGCAACAGAUUGACUAUGGGGCAGUUAUUUACUGGGGCUUUUUUCAACAUGCCUUCCUGCUUAGUUUCACAUGGAAAUCAGAUUUGGGAAGAGACCUUCAGGUCUUUACUUGCAAUUCCCUGUGCCACUGGAAUUGAUUUGGGCUCAAACAGAAAUCCCACUUCUAAUAGGACUUCUGAAAUGUGGAGCUGGGCACUCUCUGGGAUGGAGUUAGAAGAGGGUGAAAAGGGGAGUCUCUUUCUCCUAAGAGAUCAGAACUGGCAAGGGAAAGAUGUCCUGUUCUGGAUCUGGUUGUGCUUUGUUUGAAAGAGCAGCUCUGUGUAAUGGGAAGAUCCCUGGACCCAUUUUCCUUCCUCUGGGAAUCUCAGGCCAGUGCCCCAUCCUCAUCUUCUUCUGAGAAAGGUGCUGUGCCAUUGUCACAGGAUAUGCCCACAUUGCGUCUCAAUGGGAGGACUGAGGAGCACUUUAGGCAGGGCUGCUUUGCUCCACAAGCACUUGCCUUUUCUUGGGUGAGGCAGGUCCGACAGGGAAAGAGGCUCAGCUGAGCUCCUGGGACGUCAAUCCCACUCACAGCUUAGCAGGGCUGGGGAACCUGUGGUCCUCCAGAUGUAAAACAACUCCCACCCCCUCUGGCCUUGGCCAAUGUUGGCUGCUAGGGCUGCUGGGAGUUGUAGUUCCACAAGCUCUGGAAGGCUAUCCGUCCCCAUCCCUGCUGUAGAAACAACACUCAACUAGGGGGACCAACAGUCUGACCCCAGAAGGAGAAGGAUCCUGCAGGGCCAGAGUGUGAGAGAAGUCUCUCAAAUUUCAGAGGGAGAGGGAGAAGGCUCAGAGAGACACAACCUGUCAAAUGGGGGUGGGAAUCAUUGAGACUUUUCCAUUUUAAAAAUCACUAUUUUAAUGUUUUACAUCAUUCACUUUACUGUCCCAGGCCUGCUUGCAACAAUUAAAAAUCAACAUUAAAUUAAUCUUUUAUAUCUCUCGUUAUCUGAACUGUCUCCUUCCUGGAGAUGCAUUCUUUAAGUCAUCAUAAAGAAAUCUCAAUAUAAAAGCUGAAAUGUAAGAGGAAGUGCCUCCUCCCUGUCUGACAAAUAUUUCUCUGGUUAUCUGAGAGAUAAUGUCUGAUUUCCCCUGUUUUCACAUGUUUCUGAAAGUAUCCUUGAAAACGUAUCAUUUCAGAGUAUCCAAGAUUCUUGCAAGAUGUCCAGUGUCAACAAUGGAACUCCCUCUUCGGAGAUGCCAGAGGAACCCCCCCGAAUAGAGGAUAUUAUAGCUAUAGUAAAAAAAUUCAGAUUCAGUGUCAAGCUGCCACAAUUACCUCGUUGAGGAUUCACUUCUGCUGCUUCCUUUGAUACUUUGGAUGGUCUCACGUUUUGAACAGAAUGCAUGGCAGUCACGUCACUCACCAGAUGUGCCCUAUUGAGAAUCGCCUGCUUUUCUGAUCCUAAUGCAAAGCCCCAAAGUCAAGCAACCUGCGUAUGGUUUGUGCUCUUGAGGGCCAGGAAGUCCGAAAUGCUGAGUGCCCACUACGCAAACUAUCCACGGCUGCCAACAUGUCAUCUUUGUUCUGUAACACAUUCUUUCCCCUUGCAAAUCUUCCUUCCUCCUCUGCUGAGUGUAUCUGUCCUCCAUUUCUGCCAAGCAAGUCUCAGUUCACUGAGUCAGAAUUGGCAGAAGAUCUGCACAUCGAGGCUCUUGCCUGGGGCCUUUUUGGCCGCCUGUGAACACUUUUAUGAGUGUUUUGCUUUCCUUUAAUCUCUUAAUGUUGAAUCUCUUCUCCUGCUCGACCUGUUGAUCCCAGAGAAUGUUCCCUCCUUCCUUGCUAGCCAUUAAAACUUCACUGCAGUAUCACAGAGGCCUCUUGCGUGUUUUUCUCCUGCUUUACUGGUUCUCAGCUCACCUUUCAUGAAGGGCAACUGGCAAUCGCAAAUAUGUUUCCUUGAUAUGUGUCUGAUCCUGUCUGACACCCAUCUGUGCUGACCCCUAUUAGCUUCUCCUGCCUGAAAGUCCCUGCCAAGACAGGCACCGCUCGGGCGGAAGGAGGGAUUCCCGGCUACUCCUUGGAAGCUGUUUCUGCAGUUCCAAGGUGUCC